GAAAUGCAGGGCAAGGGUGUCCACUUUUUUUUUUUUGUCAUAAUUUUAAAAAAGUGAAAUUAUUUAUUCUUUAAAAUCUUUUUUUUUUGUAAUUUCUAUUAAUUUAAAUAAAAAUACGAAAGAACCUUUUUGACUAUUUUAAUUAAAUAUAUUAUAAAAUUCUUAGUAGGAAAAAUUACACCGAAAGCUUUAUAGUUUGUCUAAAUUCCACAUAACAUGCUGACCUUUU
rnacentral:lncRNA from 1 species